GAUGAACGCUGGCGGCGUGCCUAAUACAUGCAAGUCGAACGAAACUUCUUUAUCACCGAGUGCUUGCACUCACCGAUAAAGGGUUGAUUGGCGAACGGGUGAGUAACACGUGGGCAACCUGCCCAGAAGAGGGGGAUAACACUUGGAAACAGGUGCUAAUGCCGCAUAACCAUAGUUACCGCAUGCUAACUAUGUAAAAGGUAGCUCUCCUACCCUUUUUGGUUGGGCACGGGGCGCAUUAGCUAGUUGGUAGGGUAAAGGCUUAGCAAGGCAAUGAUGCGUAGCCGAAUUGAGAGGUUGAUCGGCCACAUUGGAACUGAGACACGGCCCAAACUCCUACGGGAGGCAGCAGUAGGGAAUCUUCGACAAUGGGCGAAAGCCUGAUGGAGCAACGCCGCGUGUGUGAAGAAGGUCUUCGGAUCGUAAAGCCCUGUUGUUAGAGAAGAAAGGCAGUGAGUGUAAAUGUUGACGUUUCGACGGUAACUAAACAAAAAGCAACGGCUAACUACGUG
rnacentral:rRNA from 1 species